rnacentral:tRNA from 1 species
GGGGACAUAGCUCAAAGGGAGAGCGCUUCCCUCGCACGGAAGAGGUUGCGGGUUCGACUCCCGCUGUCUCCA